CAGCAGCCGCGGUAAUACGAAAGGUCCAAGCGUUACUCGGAAUUACUGGGCGUAAAGCGCGCGUAGGCGGUUUUGUAUGUCGAUUGUGAAAGCCCCGGGCUCAACCUGGGAACUGCAGUCGAAACUGCAAGACUUGAAUGUUGGAGAGGUUGGGGGAAUACCUAGUGGAGAAGUGAAAUUCGUAGAGAUUAGGUGGAACACCAGAGGCGAAGGCGCCUGACUGGCCAAACAUUGACGCUAGGGCGCGAAAGCGUGGGUAGCAAACAGGAUUAGAUACCCCCGUAGUCCCUGUCUCUUAUAC
rnacentral:rRNA from 1 species